GCCAUCCCAAUAAUCGGCCCCUCAAAUACAAAAUCUACAACCCAUAUUUGAAAUCUAUUUUCUCAGCUGGCAAUAGCUCGUCUCUUUAUCUCCGCUUUAUUAUUUUCCUUUUCCAGCAAAUUUGCGGCAAUCAUUAGCCAUAGUCAGAUUUGUCACACUAUUUUAGUGCAUGGUUCCCUCUAUCACCAAUUGCUCUGCCAUGGACUCACGUGUUGACAAACUUCAAACAUUCAAAUAAAAAUGUUUAUGUUGAUUGAUUUUUGAAUCAGAAAUUGAAGACCCCACAGAAAAUCUGAAAGCCCCAAUGUACCUUCUGUCUAUAAAUAUUCACUUUGGAGUUCAUUUAAGGAAAGGUUUUCGUGGCUUCCAUCUCUCUCUUAAUCGAGACUCUCCCUUUGAGUGUGUUUCAAGCUCAUGCUUCUCGAGUUCAAGCCUAGACCGCUAACCAAAGCACUACCAUUCCCUGCCCUACAAUAGGUAUACAUCCAUGGGAACAACAUAGGAAGAGAACAAUUAAACCAAACACGAGUACUGAAUUCAAUCAAAAAGGAGGGACCUGGUCCCAACUCUCAGGUUAGUACCUACAUGUUGCUUAACUAAUCAUAAAAUGUUGUUUGGAAAGCCAUGUAUUUUUCUUUUCUCUAAGCUGCCAAGUCAUUUGCAAAAUAAAGAUUUACACUUGUUAGGUUUAGUCAUGUAAGUCUAAAGGGAACAUCUUUUAUCACAUUAGCCACCCUUAAAAUUGCUAAAUUAGACCAUCUUGUCAGUACUCUACAAUGAAUCCAUCUCAUCUUCAUAAAACUAAAAUCUUCCCUAAACUAAAAUAUUUCAUCUUUCUCAAAAUCCAAUGGAUGAUAUUAUUACUUAAUCAAACUAUGUAACAAAUCCAAAAUCCACAAUUGAGUCAAUGUUCUUUGAACCUUCCUUAACUUCAAGCUUAGGCUCAGCCUAUCAUGAUUGAGAAUUCAAACCAAAGGUUUAGGUCAUGAAUAGAACAAGAAAUUUCUCAACUUAAAAACUCUUAAUUUCCUAAGUUCUUUGAAAACCAAAAUAGGUGAAUUCUCUAAAACUUAACAAGCAAUGGAUUCUCCU